rnacentral:tRNA from 1 species
UCUAGGAUAGUUUAAUUUAAUAAAACGUUGCCCUCAUAAGGUAGAGUUGUAGGCGAAACCCCUGCUUCCGAUAA